ACUUCAACAACAUCUCCUCGUUCACACAGUGCUGAAUGUGUGUCAGACACUUAUUUAAUCAAAUGGGGAAAAAUACUGGCAUGUUGGUUUUCACAGUAGGAUAUUGCAUCUGGGUUGCUGCAUCGUCAUGUUUCUCCCAGCUUAUGGAGAGGUUUCUUCGGGACGGGGACGAUGGUGGAUCACUUGAAGCCGGAUGGGACGAUACAGAGCGUCAGGGAGAGGUUGAAGAUGUCGGUGCAUACCGGGGCUAGCUGGUCUGCGCAGGCUUUGAGGACUCUACUGCAGAUGCUGUCUGGUCCCGCUGCCUUCCUGGAGGUGGGACUCAAGAGGAGGAAAGCCUGUUCCUGCCAUCCCUCAUGCUCUUCUACCACCUCUACAUGUCUUGUAACCUUGAGGGUAAAUUGCACCUUUUGUCUUCUUGUUCACGUGCAGCUUCUCCCUGCUCAUAAUUUUUCAUGCACCUUCUUGUUCUACUCUAACCCAAGGCCCCAAAUUUGCCCAUUCGAGGCCUCUGGGUUUUGUGAUUGACACAUGAGGAUGUGAGAGUGCCAUGGCAAAACGCUCCUUUUUGUGAGUAGGCGGUCCUUCAGCUAGCAUCCCUGAGGCUACACACUUCCCCUUUCCCCAAUACACACAAUCGAGGCAAAUGACCUCUCCUGGGAACUCCUUGCUGAACUACUUCUUUUCAUACUCAUGAUCAGGCCCUACGGACACACAUGCGGUACAGUGCAGGUUUUCCAAUUUCAUUACGUCUACCCCUUUUUGUUCGCUUUGUUUGAGAAUAUCUGACAUCUGCACAUUAAGAAUGCAUGGGUGAAAUUCUGACCCCCUUCACUUUGGCAAGGGAGAGGGUGUGAGUAAUGCUCUAGGGCAAUAUGUCCAGUGGCCCCUACCGUAGUCAAUGUUUUCCCAGAUAACAGGACAUAAUAAACCAAACUUGAACUUGAUCUAAUUCCCUAACCUGAAAUACAGAUUUUGCAGUGCCUGAGUCCACCAGGAAUGACAUAGUAUACCCUGCACUGUUAGGGGCAGUUGUGGCAAGCAAGAGUAAGGAGGUGCAGUAUACUGCAGACAUGAGGGAGAGAGGGUGUGGUGCGUGUGUGCUGGGAGGGUGCGGUGUGCAUGAUGUGUGUGUAUAUGUGUGUGUGCUCUUAUCUGUAGCUGCGGCUGACCCGUCCCCGACUCUGCCCGUCAGUCUGCUUCCUCUGCAUAGCCCCUCUCCUUCCGUGUUUUACAGUCUCUUGUGAAGUGUCCUUUCUUUCCACACGUGCAGCAUCGGUCAUCUCUUACGCCAUCAUCCUGCUUGUAGCUCCCUCUCUCUUCCUCUUCCACGGCCUCGUCCUCGACCACGGCCUCUGCCUCUUUGUCCUGCGACAGCUGUUAUCAUUUUAAAUUACAGUUAUACACAAACCAACUAUUUUGGUCAGAAUGGUUGUUGUAAGUGGAGAAGCACUUGACACUAUUAAGCACAGUUGAAAGUCCUGUUAAGAAUGUUUUAUUAACCAAUUAAUCUUUUGUUAUAUUAUCUCUGUAUGUAAGAUAUUUACCACUUGAAGAUAUGGAAAUUAGGACUAUUUAAUCCACCUAAGUACAAUUAAUUUCAGAACCCCUGACCUUUUCAACAGAGGAGGGCAGUUGGUUAAACUGUAAAAGUGAAUUUGUCUCUCAUCCUUAUCAAGUAGUUGUAGUGUCUGUGUACUAAACACAUGCAUCCAUAAACACAGCGAGAACACUGAAACUCUCUUGCGACUGUGGCACACCACAGGAAAUUACUUUUUAAGAUGCACAAGGAUAUACAUAGAUUAAAUCAGUGAAUUCCUUUAUGCCAUCAGUAACAGUUUGUAACUAUGGCUUACUUGCACACUUUACUUUCAGAGAUUUUCCUGAUUAGCUGUAUUAGCUGUAACUGAUUUCUAGUGUUGUUCAUUGUGCUUAUUCUGA